GAUGAGCAUGUAAAAGAAAUUUCGUCACUUCACAAUUUUUUAUUACGUUUAAUUGUAGCCUAAUGGCUAUUAUUGCCUUAUGGCACAAUUUAACUAUUAAACCACAAGCAUAAUUGAAAUAAUAAGAAAGUAACAAAUAUAAUUAACAAAUUAAAGUAUUUAAACAUCCCGUAUUGCAAUGUGAAUCAUUUUCUGGUCUGAUCGAUGAGGUGCUCAAAUCUUCUUCUAUGUAUAUUGAAAUUAAAGAUUUAUUAAAUUUCAACUCUUACAUGCCUGCAGAAAAUAAAUGUUAGGUUUUUUUAGCAUAACUAUUUGAAAAAAAUUAUCUCUCAUCACAUAACAAUAGUGUUAGUAUAUAUAGACUAUAGAGUACUGUACUUCAAGCUCGAAGUAUAUAUAUAUAACACGAAAACCAAAAUGGAACACAAAGUAAAGUUAAAAAUAAAUUAAACUAUUGAAAUAUUUUGGAUUAGUUGCACUUUUCCUCUUGAACAUUAUCAUUAGGUCACAUGCGACUUUAGCCCUUAAACUUUAAAAAUAUGCAAAUUAACAUUUAAAUUUUUAAAGAUUAAGGGCUAAAGAUCAUAUAAUCUACAAUUCAGGGAAUAAAUUGCAAUUAACCCAAAUAUUUAUUUCAUAUAUUAUUUUGACUACAUCUUAAGGCCCUUGUCAUAUAGGUAAAUGAUUUAUAUGCUUUAUUUUUCAAUAUCUUAUUAAUUUUUAUACUACUCAACACUUUUGGUGCAAUUUAAAAAAAAACACCAAAAUUAAGAUAAUUUUGAAAAUACAGUACAGAGAUUUAGGUUCAGUUUGGAUAAAUAGCUUAAUUAAACUUUUUUUAAAAAAACAGCUUAAAUAAUAAAUGGUUAUAUUAAAAGUAGCUUAUAAAUAAGUUAUUUUGUACUUAGGUUUGUAGUUUUAAAAGUACUUAUUUUAUAAAAAUGUGAUAAAAAGUAAUAGUAUUAUGAGAGAUUUUAUUUUUUUAACUUCUCUAUAAGCUCCUAUAAUUUCUUAGAAAACUGCAAUUUGGUUUUAAAAAAUAUAUCAGACAUUAAUACUACUACUUUUUUAAAUCAAAAACUCAAAAAAAUUACUUUUGAAGCUUCACAAAUGAACCCUCACUCUUUUAAAAGUCAUCUGUAACCACUACCAUUAUAUCUAAUUCUUUAUGAAUGAAUAACCUUUAUUUUUAGAAAAUUUAGGGUUUAAAAUUAAAAUUUAGGAUAUAUAAUUUAAAAUUUAUGGUUUAGGAUUUAACAUUUAGGAUAUAAAAUUUAAAAUAAAAAAUAUAGAUUGAUGUCAGUUGAAAAAUAUUAGCUUCCUAGUUGAACUCAUGAAUAUUAUAAUAAACUACUUAAAGUACCAUGAUUUUGUUUUAAUUUUUAUUUUGUAUCAUAUAGUUGAAUAUCCUACAUACUUUGUAUCUUUGAUCAGUUAACACUCACCAAUGAGUGGAAAAUUUUUCAUAUAAUCAAAUAUGAAUAUUAGAUAAUUAAUAUAAUAUAAUAAUUUAAAAUUUAAAUACUUACCACUGUUAUAACUUUCCACCGGAGGACCAUACUUAGCUUUGCAUUUCUUAAUGCAAUCCUCCUUCGCUUCCGGAUUAUUUCUAUAGCGGCUCUUGCAUGUUUGAAGACAACUUUUCAGCUUAUAUUCCUGAUGUUCAAGACCAUCGUAUUGAGCUGAAGACCAUUUUGGAAUACUGUCAUGCGAUUCAACAAUGAUAGCACAAAUAACAAAUCCAAUAAUAAUGAAGAAACGUGUUAUUUGUUUAUAGGUCACACCACCAUUUCUAGCCAUAUGUGUCUUCUUU
rnacentral:lncRNA from 1 species